CGGUUAUUGGAGGCAUUGCCUGCCCAGUGACAACUGUUUAACGGCCGCGGUAUCCUGACCGUGCAAAGGUAGCAUAAUCAUUUGUUCUCUAAAUAAGGACUUGUAUGAAUGGCCGCACGAGGGUUUUACUGUCUCUUACUUCCAAUCAGUGAAAUUGACCUUCCCGUGAAGAGGCGGGAAUGCACAAAUAAGACGAGAAGACCCUAUGGAGCUUUAACUAACCAACCCAAAGAGAAUAGAUUUAACCAUUAAGGAAUAACAACAAUCUCCAUGAGUUGGUAGUUUCGGUUGGGGUGACCUCGGAGAAUAAAAAAUCCUCCGAGCGAUUUUAAAGACUAGACCCACAAGUCAAAUCACUCUAUCGCUCAUUGAUCCAAAAACUUGAUCAACGGAACAAGUUACCCUAGGGAUAACAGCGCAAUCCUAUUCAAGAGUCCAUAUCGACAAUAGGGUUUACGACCUCGAUGUUGGAUCAGGACAUCCUGAUGGUGCAACCGCUAUCAAAGGUUCGUUUGUUCAACGAUUAAAGUCCUACGUGAUCUGAGUUCAGACCGGA
rnacentral:rRNA from 1 species